rnacentral:rRNA from 1 species
CUACGUGCCAGCAGCCGCGGUAAUACGGAAGGUCCGGGCGUUAUCCGGAUUUAUUGGGUUUAAAGGGAGCGUAGGCUGGAGAUUAAGUGUGUUGUGAAAUGUAGACGCUCAACGUCUGACUUGCAGCGCAUACUGGUUUCCUUGAGUACGCACAACGUUGGCGGAAUUCGUCGUGUAGCGGUGAAAUGCUUAGAUAUGACGAAGAACUCCGAUUGCGAAGGCAGCUGACGGGAGCGCAACUGACGCUGAAGCUCGAAGGUGCGGGUAUCGAACAGGAUUAGAUACCCUGGUAGUCCGCACAGUAAACGAUGGAUGCCCGCUGUUGGUACCUGGUAUCAGCGGCUAAGCGAAAGCAUUAAGCAUCCCACCUGGGGAGUACGCCGGCAACGGUGAAACUCAAAGGAAUUGACGGGGGCCCGCACAAGCGGAGGAACAUGUGGUUUAAUUCGAUGAUACGCGAGGAACCUUGCCCGGGCUUGAAUUGCAGAGGAAGGAUUUAGA